rnacentral:rRNA from 1 species
UGGACCCUACGGGACGCAGCAGUGAGGAAUAUUGGUCAAUGGGCGCGAGCCUGAACCAGCCAAGUCGCGUGAGGGAAGACGGUCCUAUGGAUUGUAAACCUCCUUUGUCGGGGAGCAAAAGACGCCACGCGUGGCGUUCCGAGAGUACCCGAAGAAAAAGCAUCGGCUAACUCCGUGCCAGCAGCCGCGGUAAUACGGAGGAUGCGAGCGUUAUCCGGAUUUAUUGGGUUUAAAGGGUGCGCAGGCGGAAGAUCAAGUCAGCGGUAAAAUUGAG